UUUUAUGCCUUGAGCUGAACAAUCUACACAAUGAAGAUUAUCUUUUUCUUGGUGCUCGCUGGUCUCAGCCUCUCUCAUGGCUUUGAAUGUAUACAGAAACUUCAAGCAGAGACUAGUCUGAAGUGCAUGCCAAAUGCAUUAAAGAUUGCUCCAACAUUUCUUGAAAAAUUGGUAUACUUUCUGUGUAACUAUAAAAAAGGGAUUGAAAACAAUAAAAAAGAAUUUGAAGACGCUCUCCGUGAAUU